rnacentral:misc_RNA from 1 species
AAGUCGUAACAAGGUUUCCGUAGGUGAACCUGCGGAAGGAUCAUUACGAAAGGUGAGGUGCCCCCCGGGGCGCCUCUACACCUCCCACCCUUUGUCUUCCUACCAUCGUUGCCUUGGCGGGCCGCGCGGGGGCAUGCCCCCCCCCGCUGGUUUCGACCGGCGCGAGCCUGCCAGAGUGCCAACUAAACCCUCUGAACCGUGAACGUCUGAACGUGAUCAGAACAAACUAAAACUUUCAACAACGGAUCUCUUGGUUCCA